AAACUUGAGAGUUUGAUCAUGGCUCAGAACGUACGCUGGCGGCACGCCUAACACAUGCAAGUCGAACGAAGUAGCAAUACUUAGUGGCAGACGGGUGAGUAACAUGUAGGUAUCUGCCCUUUGGCCUGGAAUAACACGAGGAAACUUGUGCUAAUACUGGAUAAGUCUUUACGGAGAAAGCUUUAUGCACCAUUGGAUGAGCCUGCACUUGAUUAGUUUGUUGGUGGGGUAAUGGCCUACCAAGACUGUGAUCAAUAGCUGAUUUGAGAGGAUGAUCAGCCACAUUGGGACUGAGACACGGCCCAAACUCCUACGGGAGGCAGCAGUGGGGAAUCUUGCACAAUGGAGGAAACUCUGAUGCAGCGAUGCCGCGUGAGUGAAGAAGGCCCUUGGGUUGUAAAGCUCUUUCGUCGGGGAAGAAAAUGACUGUACCCGAAUAAGAAGGUCCGGCUAACUUCGUGCCAGCAGCCGCGGUAAUACGAAGGGACCUAGCGUAGUUCGGAAUUACUGGGCUUAAAGAGUUCGUAGGUGGUUGAAAAAGUUAGUGGUGAAAUCCCAGAGCUUAACUCUGGAACUGCCAUUAAAACUUUUCAGCUAGAGUAUGAUAGAGGAAAGCAGAAUUUCUAGUGUAGAGGUGAAAUUCGUAGAUAUUAGAAAGAAUACCAAUUGCGAAGGCAGCUUUCUGGAUCAUUACUGACACUGAGGAACGAAAGCAUGGGUAGCGAAGAGGAUUAGAUACCCUCGUAGUCCAUGCCGUAAACGAUGUGUGUUAGACGUUGGAAAUUUAUUUUCAGUGUCGCAGGGAAACCGAUAAACACACCGCCUGGGGAGUACGACCGCAAGGUUAAAACUCAAAUGAAUUGACGGGGACCCGCACAAGUAGUGGAGCAUGUGGUUUAAUUCGAAGAUACGCGCAGAACCUUACCAACACUUGACAUGUUCGUCGCGACUCUAAGAGAUUAGAGUUUUCGGUUCGGCCGGACGAAACACAGGUGCUGCAUGGCUGUCGUCAGCUCGUGUCGUGAGAUGUUGGGUUAAGUCCCGCAACGAGCGCAACCCUCACUUUUAGUUGCCAUCAUUAAGUUGGGCACUCUGAAAGAACUGCCAGUGAUAAGCUGGAGGAAGGUGGGGAUGACGUCAAGUCCUCAUGGCCCUUACGUGUUGGGCUACACACGUGCUACAAUGGUAUCUACAACAGGAAGCAAAACUGCGAAGUUAAGCAAAUCCCUAAAAGAUACCUCAGUUCGGAUUGCACUCUGCAACUCGAGUGCAUGAAGCUGGAAUUACUAGUAAUCGUGGAUCAGCGUGCCACGGUGAAUGCGUUCCCGGGUCUUGUACACACCGCCCGUCACACCAUGGGAGUUGGUUCUACCUUAAGGCAAGGUUUCAAACCCUUGACCACGGUAUAGUCAGCGACUGGGGUGAAGUCGUAACAAGGUAGCCGUAGGGGAACCUGCGGCUGGAUUACCUCCUUU
rnacentral:rRNA from 1 species